GACGAACGCUGACGGCGUGCCUAAUACAUGCAAGUAGAACGCAGUUGCGAACGGGUGAGUAACGCGUAGGUAACUGCCUCAUAGCGGGGGAUCACUCUUGGAAACGAUAGCUAAUACCGCAUACUGGGAGAUGGACCUGCGUUGUAUUAGCUAGUUGGUGAGGUAAAGGCUCACCAAGGCGACGAUACAUAGCCGACCUGAGAGGGUGAGCGGCCAAACUGGGACCGAGACCCGGGCAAGAAUCCAACGGGAGGCAGCAGUAGGGAAUCUCCGGCAAUGGACGGAAUUUUGACCGAGCAACGCCGCGUGAGUGGAGAAGGUUGUCGGAUCGUAAAGCUCUGUUGUUAGGGAAGCGGUAACUAACCCGAAAGGGAUGGCGAACUACGUGCCAGCAGCCGCGGUAAUUC
rnacentral:rRNA from 1 species